rnacentral:rRNA from 1 species
GGGGGGGGGGGGGGGGGGGCGGGGCGCAGGCGGGGCGGGCGGGGGGGCCCGGCUUGGUGGGUGCUCGGGUGGCGAACGGGUGAGUAACCCGUGGGUGAUCUGCCCUGGACUCUGGGAUAAGCCGGGGAAACUGGGUCUGAUACCGGCUAUGCCCUUACAUCGCAUGGUGUUUGGUGGAAAGCUUUUGCGGUUCAGGAUGGGCCCGCGGCCUAUCAGCUUGUUGGUGGGGUAAUGGCCUACCAAGGCGACGACGGGUAGCCGACCUGAGAGGGUGAUCGGCCACACUGGGACUGAGACACGGCCCAGACUCCUACGGGAGGCAGCAGUGGGGAAUAUUGCACAAUGGGCGCAAGCCUGAUGCAGCGACGCCGCGUGAGGGAUGACGGCCUUCGGGUUGUAAACCUCUUUCACCAGGGACGAAGCGUGAGUGACGGUACCUGGAGAAGAAGCACCGGCCAACUACGUG